rnacentral:lncRNA from 1 species
UGACCUCCGAUUACUGACAUGUUGACCCAAAAUACCGACAUGUUGACCGAAACUUACAUUGUGUCUCUCUUCUCUGUUAUUCAUACGUAGCUUGAUAAGCAUUAAUUAAAUCAUGCAACAAUCACAAAAACGUCAAAAAAUUUCGGAUGAAUUGAAUUUAGAAGAUUUGGCAGCUUCUAUCGAAUCACUUGCUGGUACGAUCAAAAAUAUUGGUCAGAUUCAUGGAUAUUUAUUAACAAUGAAUAAAGCAAUUGUCAAUUAUUACCAAGAAGUAAACAAACUUGAAACAACAAAUUCGAAAACUUCUGGAGAAAAUAUCGAAAUUGAUGGACAAUAAAAUAUUGAUAGGUUCAUCUUUAUGUUUUCUCCUUGGAUCCGACGCAUCAAGAGUUAUUAUAAUUGGAUGUUCUCUUUGAUUUGUUCGUCUCAGUGAGUAGUCAACCCUUCUAUCAUUUUCAUACCAUUCUUGAACGGAAAAUCCUC